AACAAGUUGCUGGACAUAUGAACGUGUCUACUUCCACUGUUUGGCGGAGGUGAGUGUUAUACAUUGAUAUAUGUCAAUUUUCUACAUGUCAAAUGUGUAUGUCAUUGAUAUAUUGGUUGUUAUAUUUUCUUGUAGGUUGAAGAUGAAGGAAAUUUGACGAAUAACGAGUGAAUUGAAGCCUGCCUUGACUGCUGCAAAUGAAAGGGCUCGUGUGGAGUAUGCUCUAAAGCAUCUUUAGCCAUGUAGCCUAACGUCCCUAGGCAGUAUCAAUCCCACAUUUAGGGCUGAUAUGGAUGUGGUUCAUAUAGAUGAGAAAUGGUUUUAUCGCACGCGGAAGACCCAAAACAUGUAUUUGAGCCAUAGAGAGAAUGCACCACAGCGGGAAUGUAAACAUAAAAAC
rnacentral:lncRNA from 1 species